AUGCUACUCCCUGCCCUCCUCUUUGGGAUGGCGUGGGCCCUGGCUGACGGGCGGUGGUGUGAGUGAACAGAGACCAUCCGUGUGGAGGAGGAAUUAGCACCCCGUCAGGAGGACCUGGUACCCUGUGCCAGCCUUGACCAUUACAGCCGCCUGGGCUGGCGGCUGGACCUGCCCUGGAGUGGCCGCUCGGGGCUUACCCGGUCCCCAGCGCCUGGGCUCUGUCCUAUCUACAAACCUCCAGAAACCCGGCCUGCCAAGUGGAACCGGACAGUGAGGGCUUGUUGCCCAGGCUGGGGGGGCGCCCACUGCACUGAGGCCCUUGCCAAAGCCAGUCCUGAAGGCCACUGCUUUGCCAUGUGGCAGUGCCAGCUACAGGCAGGCUCAGCUAAUGCCUCAGCAGGAAGCCUGGAGGAGUGCUGCGCCCGGCCCUGGGGACGAAGCUGGUGGGAUGGCAGCUCCCAGGCCUGCCUCAGCUGCUCCAGCCGACACCUGCCAGGCAGUGCCUCUUCUCCAGCCCUCCUGCAGCCCCUGGCAGGGGCUGUGGGCCAGCUCUGGAGCCAGCACCAGCGUCCCUCGGCCACCUGUGCCUCCUGGUCGGGCUUCCACUACCGCACCUUUGAUGGCCGCCACUAUCACUUCCUGGGCCGCUGCACCUACCUGCUGGCGGGUGCUGCGGACUCCACCUGGGCUGUCCACCUAACACCCGGGGACCGCUGCCCCCAGCCUGGACACUGUGAGCGGGUCCAGGUGACUAUGGGACCUGAGGAGGUGCUGAUCCAGGCUGGAAAUGUGUCUGUGAAGGGGCAGCUGGUACCUGAAGGGCAGUCUUGGCUGCUCCACGGGCUGAGCCUGCAAUGGCUGGGGGACUGGCUGGUGCUGUCAGGGGGCCUGGGGGUCGUGGUGCGGCUGGACAGGACUGGCUCCAUCUCCAUCUCUGUGGACCACGAGCUCUGGGGACAGACACAAGGCCUCUGUGGGCUCUACAAUGGCUGGCCAGAGGAUGACUUCAUGGAGCCAGGCGGAGGGCUGGCCAUGUUAGCAGCCACCUUUGGAAAUUCCUGGAGGCUCCCUGGCUCGGAGCCUGGGUGUCUGGAUGCAGUGGAGGUGGCCCAGGGCUGUGACGGCCCCCUGGGGCUCACAGACGCAGAUGUAGAACCUGGCCACCUGCGGGCUGAAGCCCAGGACGUGUGCCAUCAGCUGCUGGAAGGUCCAUUCGGGCAGUGCCAUGCCCAGGUUUCCCCUGCUGAGUACCACGAGGCCUGUCUCUUUGCCUACUGCGCAGGGGCCAUGGCAGGCAGUGGGCAAGAGGGGUGGCAGCAGGCUGUUUGUGCCACCUUUGCCAGCUAUGUCCAGGCCUGUGCCAGGCGGCACAUCCACAUUCGCUGGAGGAAGCCUGGCUUCUGCGAGCGCCUGUGCCCCGGGGGCCAGCUCUACUCCGACUGCGUCUCCCUCUGCCCACCCAGCUGCGAGGCGGUGGGUCAGGGAGAGGAGGAGUCCUGCAGGGAAGAGUGUGUGAGUGGCUGUGAGUGCCUGCGAGGCCUCUUCUGGAAUGGCACCCUCUGUGUGCCUGCUGCCCACUGCCCCUGCUACUACCGCCGCCAGCGCUAUGCACCCGGUGACACCGUGCGCCAGCUGUGUAACCCCUGCGUGUGCAGGGAUGGCCGCUGGCACUGUGCCCAGGCCCUGUGCCCCGCCGAGUGUGCCGUGGGUGGGGACGGGCACUACCUCACCUUCGAUGGGCGGAGCUACUCCUUCCGGGGUGGUCAAGGUUGCCGCUACAGCCUGGUGCAGGACUAUGUGAAGGGACAGCUACUGAUCCUACUGGAGCAUGGGGCCUGCGACGCUGGGAGCUGCCUCCACGCCAUCUCCGUCUCCCUGGAGGACACCCACAUCCAGCUCAGGGACUCAGGAGCUGUGCUGGUCAAUGGGCAGGAUGUGGACUUGCCCUGGAUUGGCGCUGAGGGCCUCAGUGUGCGCCGAGCUUCCUCUGCCUUUCUGCUGCUGCGCUGGCCUGGGGCCCAGGUGCUCUGGGGACUGUCUGACCCUGCAGCCUACAUCACCCUGGACCCCCGCCAUGCCCACCAGGUGCAGGGUCUGUGUGGUACCUUCACCCAGAACCAGCAGGACGACUUCCUGACACCAGCCGGAGAUGUGGAAACUAGCAUUGCUGCCUUUGCUAGCAAGUUCCAGGUGGCCGGCAAGGGAAGAUGCCCCUCUGGGGACAGUGCCCUGCUGUCUCCCUGCACCACCCACUCCCAGCGCCACGCCUUCGCAGAGGCAGCCUGUGCCAUCCUGCACAGCUCUGUCUUCCAGGAAUGCCACAGGCUGGUGGACAAAGAGCCAUUCUAUCUGCGCUGCCUGGCAGCCGUGUGUGGCUGUGAUCCCGGCAGUGACUGCCUGUGCCCGGUGCUGUCUGCCUAUGCGCGUCGCUGUGCCCAGGAAGGUGCCUCACCUCCCUGGAGGAACCAGACCCUCUGCCCUGUUAUGUGUCCUGGUGGCCAGGAGUACCGAGAGUGUGCCCCAGCAUGCGGUCAACACUGCGGGGAACCAGAGGACUGUGGAGAGCUGGGCAGCUGUGUGGCUGGUUGUAACUGUCCUCUGGGGCUGCUGUGGGACCCUGAGGGCCAGUGUGUGCCCCCCAGCUUGUGCUCUUGCCAGCUCGGAGCCCGUCGCUAUGCCCCUGGCAGUGCCACCAUGAAGGAGUGCAACCGCUGCAUCUGCCAGGAAAGGGGCCUCUGGAAUUGCACAGCUCGCCACUGCCCUUCACAGCGGGCAUUCUGCCCCAGGGAGCUUGUCUAUGCCCCUGGUGCCUGUCUCCUCACCUGUGACAGCCCCAGCGCCAAUCACUCCUGCCCUGCAGGCAGUACUGAUGGCUGUGUCUGUCCACCAGGCACGGUGCUGCUGGACGAGCGCUGUGUGCCUCCUGACCUCUGUCCCUGCUGUCACAGUGGGCAGUGGUACCUGCCCAAUGCCACCAUCCAGGAAGACGGCAACGUUUGCGUGUGCCAGGGCCGGCAGUGGCACUGCACAGGCCAGCGGUGCAGUGGGCGGUGCCAGGCAUCAGGCGCCCCCCACUAUGUGACAUUUGACGGACUGGCCUUCACCUAUCCUGGGGCCUGCGAGUAUCUGCUGGUGGGAGAGGCCAGUGGCCUAUUCACAGUCUCUGCCCAGAACCUGCCCUGUGGGGCCAGCGGUCUCACCUGCACCAAAGCGCUGGCCGUGCGUCUGGAGGGCACUGUUGUGCACAUCCUCAGAGGCCGGGCAGUGACGGUGAAUGGGGUGAGCGUGACGCCCCCCAAGGUCUACACAGGCCCUGGGCUGAGCCUGCGUCGUGCUGGCCUCUUCCUGCUGCUCUCCACCCGCCUGGGCCUCACCCUGCUCUGGGAUGGAGGGACUCAGGUCCUGGUGCAACUGUCCCCUCAGUUCCGUGGUCGCGUGGCUGGGCUGUGUGGUGACUUUGAUGGAGAUGCCAGUAAUGAUCUGCGGAGCCGCCAGGGCGUCCUGGAGCCCACAGCUGAACUGGCCGCCCACUCCUGGCGCCUCAGCCCCCUCUGUCCUGAGCCAGGAGACCUGCCACACCCCUGCACGAUGAACGCACAUUGGGCUGGUUGGGCUCGGGCCCGCUGUGGGGCGCUGCUGCAGCCGCUCUUCACAUCAUGCCACGCGGAAGUCCCCCCGCAGCAGCACUAUGAGUGGUGCCUGUAUGACGCCUGUGGGUAAGGAGGGGCCAACCUGGAGUAGGGUAGAGGUGGGGGUGCCGGGACUGAAUGCUUCCUCCCACAGCUGCAACUCAGGGGGUGACUGUGAGUGCCUCUGCUCGGCCACUGCCACCUAUGCAGAUGAGUGUGCCCGGCAUGGGCACCACGUGUGCUGGCGUAGCCAGGAGCUCUGCCCCCUGCAGUGUGAAGGGGGACAGGUAUAUGAGGCCUGUGGCCCCACAUGUCCCCCCACCUGCCAUGAGCAGCAUCCUGAGCCCGGGUGGCACUGCCAGGUGGUGGCCUGUGUGGAGGGCUGCUUCUGCCCCGAGGGGACUCUGCUGCACGGAGGAGCCUGCUUGGAGCCAGCUUCCUGCCCCUGUGAGUGGGGCCGCAACUCCUUCCCGCCGGGGUCUGUGCUGCAAAAGGACUGCGGGAACUGCACGUGCCAGGAAGGUCAAUGGCAUUGUGGGGGUGACGGUGGCCACUGUGAGGAGCUUGUGCCUGCCUGUGCAGAGGGAGAGGCCGUGUGCCAAGAGAAUGGGCACUGUGUGCCCCAUGGGUGGCUUUGUGACAACCAGGACGACUGUGGCGAUGGCUCUGAUGAGGAGGGUUGUGCCGCCCCAGGCUGUGGGGAGGGGCAGAUGACUUGCAGCUCCGGCCACUGCCUGCCCCUGGCCCUGCUCUGUGACGGCCAGGAUGACUGUGGAGAUGGCACGGAUGAGCAGAGCUGUCCGUGCCCCCAGGGCUUGCUGGCCUGUGCCGAUGGACGCUGCCUGCCGCCGGCCCUGCUCUGCGAUGGGCAUCCUGACUGUACGGACGCCGCCGACGAGGAGUCCUGUCUGGGGCAGGUGACCUGCGUCCCCGGGGAGGUGUCCUGUGUCGAUGGCACCUGCCUGGGGGCCAUCCAGCUGUGUGACGGAGUCUGGGACUGCCCAGAUGGAGCCGAUGAGGGGCCGGGACACUGCCCCCUACCUUCUCUGCCCACGCCUCCUGCCAGCACCUUGCCUGGCCCCUCCCCUGGCUCCCUGGACACUGCGUCAAGUCCCCUGGCCAGCGCCAGCCCUGCGCCACCCUGCGGCCCCUUCGAGUUUCGGUGCGGCAGCGGCGAGUGCACCCCGCGGGGCUGGCGCUGCGACCAGGAGGAAGACUGCGCCGACGGCAGCGACGAGCGCGGCUGCGGAGGGCCCUGCGCGCCGCACCACGCGCCCUGCGCCCGCGGCCCUCACUGCGUGUCCCCCGAGCAGCUGUGCGACGGCGUGCGGCAGUGUCCCGACGGCUCGGACGAGGGCCCCGACGCCUGCGGUGAGGCUCCCGCGCCCCCGGCCAUGCGCGGCCCCCCUGGCCAAGCCGGCGGGCCCACCUCUUCCCGAGCGCCAUCCCCACCUUCGCCUCCUGAGGCACAGGGAGAGGGCAGGAAGGGACGGGAGCGGAGGAGGACACAUCUCACGGUGCCCGCAGGCUCCACCCAGCUGCCUCCGUGCCCUGGCUUCUUUCCCUGUGGUGUGGCUCCGGGGCUGUGCCUGACCCCUCAGCAGCUCUGUGAUGGGAUCCCAGACUGUCCCCAGGGCGAGGAUGAGCUGGACUGCGGGGGGCUGCCAGCCCUGGGAGGCCCCAACAGGACAGGGCUUCCCUGCCCAGAAUACACCUCCCCCAAUGGCACCUGCAUAGGCUUCCAGCUGGUGAGGGUGGGAGUGGAUGGAGGAGAUGGCAGUGCCAUGUUGCCUCCCAGCACAAGAGCCCUGACCCCACUCCCUCCCCAGGUGUGUGAUGGGCAGCCUGACUGUGGAAGGCCAGGGCAGGUGGGCCCCUCCCCAGAAGAGCAGGGUUGUGGGGCCUGGGGCCCCUGGAGCCCAUGGGGGCCCUGCAGCCGGACGUGUGGGCCCGGGGGCCAGGGCCGGAGCUGCCGCUGCUCCCCACUCGGCCUCCUGGUGCUACAGAACUGCCCAGGGCCUGAGCACCAGUCUCAGGCCUGCUUCACGGCAGCCUGCCCAGUGGACGGUGAAUGGAGCGCCUGGUCCCCCGGUCUGUGUGCUCUGAGCCGUGCAGGGGCACCAUGACGCGGCAACGGCAGUGCCACCCACCCCAGAAUGGGGGCCGCACCUGUGCUGCACUGCCCGGAGGCCCGCACAGCACCCGCCAGACCAAGCCUUGCCCUCAGGACGGCUGCCCCAAUGCCACCUGCUCUGGGGAGCUGAUGUUCCAGCCCUGUGCCCCCUGCCCACUGACCUGUGAUGACAUAUCUGGCCAGGUCACGUGCCCACCUGAUCGGCCCUGCGGCAGCCCGGGCUGCUGGUGCCCAGAAGGGCAGGUGCUGGGCAGCGAGGGGUGGUGUGUGUGGCCCCGGCAGUGCCCCUGCCUGGUGGACGGUGCCCGCUACUGGCCCGGGCAACGCAUCAAGGCCGACUGCCGGCUCUGCAUCUGCCAAGACGGAUGGCCCCGACGCUGCCGACUCAACCCGGACUGCGCUGUGGACUGUGGCUGGUCCUCCUGGUCACCCUGGGCUGAGUGCCUGGGCCCCUGUGGAAGCCAGAGCAUCCAGUGGUCCUUCCGGAGCCCCAACAACCCCCGCCCCUCCGGCCGAGGUCGCCAGUGCCGUGGCAUCCACCGCAAGGCACGCAGGUGCCAGACGGAGCCCUGUGAGGGGUGUGAGCAUCAGGGCCAGGUCCACCGUGUCGGGGAACGCUGGCGUGGGGGCCCCUGCAGGGUGUGCCAGUGUCUGCACAACCUCACCGCACGCUGCUCACCCUACUGCCCGCUCGGCAGCUGCCCCCAGGGCUGAGUCUUGGUGGAGGGGACGAGAGAAUCAUGCUGCCACUGUGCCCUACCUGGAGAGAACCAGAUGGUCCAGCCCAUGGCCACUCCUGCCGCAGCUCCGGCUCCCAGUCCCCAGAUCAGAUUCCCUUUGGCCACUUACAUUCUGCCUCCGCCAGGAGUCCCCUGCUAUUUUCCCCUGGGGCUGGCGGGACUGGCUGAGGGGAGUCUGCAUGCAUCGUCCCAGCAGCUGGAACACCCCACCCAGGCUGCCCUCCUGGGGGCUCCCACCCAGGGGCCCAGCCCUCAGGGAUGGCACGCUGGAGGGGAUGCUUAUGCCAAGUGGCACACUCGGCCCCAUUACCUGCAGCUGGACCUGCUUCAGCCUCGGAACCUCACUGGCAUCAUAGUGCCGGAGGCUGGCUCCUCCAACGCAUAUGCCAGCAGCUUCUCACUCCAGUUCAGCAGCAAUGGUCUACACUGGCAUGACUAUUGUGACCUCCUGCCUGGCAUCUUGCCCCUGCCCAAGGUAUCACCCGCCCAAGGCCGAUGGGGCCAGCAGCCCACCAUGCCCUUUUGUGGGUUCCAUAGUCUUUGUCCCCAAGGGCCUUCCAGUGUCCCCGAGGGGCAUGGCCUGCAUUCGAUGCUUGUUGAAUACCUGGUGAGUAGCAGGGACUGUGCUCUGUGGAGCCGAGGCUUGGGUGCCACUGUCACAUGGAUGCUGGAAACCAUCCAAGUGGCUUAGACUCAGGGCAGGUAUGUGAAGCCUGCAAGGGAGAGAGGAUGGGGAGACACCAAGUUCACUGAGGGCCUCCGGGAGCCCAGACCCACGCAGGUCUUCGUGGAGAGCAGCCUGGGCACAGCCCUGCCCUCAGGGGGUUUGCAUCCUUCCCGGAGACAAACUGCACGAGGCGGUAGGAAUCAGUCCAUGCUGUGUUAAGUCUUAACUGUUUCAGGAGCACCUGCUCUGUGCCAGGUGCCGAGCCAGGCCCUGGGGACACAGCAGUGAACAGGACCUGGCCUUUGCCCUAGGGGCACCUCCAGCUUAGUGGGAGGAGCUCAGUCCAGGACCAGCCCCCUCCAGCCUUGAGAGGCCCAAAUGCCUACUGCCAGGGUGGGGGGCAUGGCUCUGGGAGGGGCCGUGAAAACUGGGGAAAAAGUGGGGUCACUCAAAGUCAUGAGGUCAGCCUGAAAAAGAGGUGAAGCUUAGUCAUCAGCAUCCUCUGCUGGCAGCUUUUCCCCAGAAACUGGGAUGACCUGGACCCUGCCGUAUGGACUUUCGGCCGCAUGGUGCAGGCGAGGUUUGUCAGGGUGUGGCCCCACGAUGUCCACCACAGCGAUGUCCCCCUGCAGGUGGAGCUGCUGGGCUGCGAGCCAGGUACAGGUUGCGCAGGGGUGGGCAGGGCAGGAGAGAGAGGGGCCAUGGGAGGAGCCCUCAGCCAUACGUCCUCCACACAGGGUCCCCACCGGCACCUCUGUGCCCAGGGGUUGGAUUCCGCUGUGCCAGUGGUGAGUGUGUCCUGAGAGGGGGCCCAUGUGACGGUGCUCUGGACUGCGAGGAUGGCUCGGAUGAGGAGGGCUGUGUGUUGCUGCCUGAGGGCACUGGCAGAUUCCAUUCCACAGCCAAGACCCUGGCCCUCUCCUCUGCCCAGCCGGGGCAGCUGCUGCACUGGCCCAGGGAGGGCCUGGUAGAGACUGAGCACUGGCCUCCCGGGCAGGAAUCCCCCACGUCCCCGACAGAGACAAGGCCCGUGAGUCCUGGCCCAGCCUCCGGGGUGCCUCACCAUGGGGAAUCUAUGCAGAUGGUGACCACCACCCCCAUACCCCAGAUGGAGGCCAGGACCCUGCCACCAGGUAUGGCAGCUGUGACGGUGCUGCCCCCACACCCUGUGACUCCAGCGACCCCUGCUGGCCAGAGCGUCGCCCCAGGACCCUUCCCACCUGUGCAGUGUGGCCCCGGCCAGACGCCCUGUGAGGUGCUGGGCUGCGUGGAACAGGCGCAGGUGUGUGAUGGCAGGGAGGAUUGCCUCGACGGCUGCGGAAUCUACUUAUGUGGCUCCCUUCUCUCCCUGCCUUGUGGGCAGCGAGCACUGUGCCCUUCAUGGUGCCUACCACGGCCCUGCCUGGGCUUCCAGCCUCAAGGGCCCUCUGUUUCCCGAGCCAGCUGAGCUGUGGCAGCGGGGAGUGUCUGUCUGCUGAGCGGCGCUGUGACCUGCAGCCUGACUGCCAGGAUGGCUCGGACGAGGAUGGCUGUGUGGACUGCGUGCUGGGCCCCUGGUCUGUCUGGAGCAGCUGCAGCCGCAGCUGUGGCCUGGGCCUCACCUUCCAGCGCCAGGAGCUGCUGCGGCCUCCUCUGCCAGGGGGCAGCUGCCCGCGUGACCGGUUCCGAAGCCAGUCCUGCUUUGUGCAGGCCUGCCCAGUGGCUGGGGCAUGGGCCAUGUGGGAGGCCUGGGGACCCUGCAGCGUCUCCUGCGGGGGUGGCCAUCAGAGUCGCCAGAGAAGCUGUGUGGACCCCCCACCCAAGAAUGGCGGUGCCCCCUGCCCUGGGGCCUCCCAAGAGAGGGCACCCUGCGGCUUGCAGCCCUGCUCAGGUGGCACAGACUGCGAGCUGGGCCGUGUGUAUGUGAGUGCCGAUCUGUGCCAGAAGGGGCUGGUGCCCCCAUGCCCACCCUCCUGCCUGGAUCCCAAGGCCAACAGAAGCUGCAGUGGGCAUUGUGUGGAAGGAUGCCGCUGUCUCCCGGGGCUCCUUCUGCAUGACACUCGCUGCCUGCCCCUCUCUGAGUGCCCCUGCCUGGUGGGCGAAGAGCUGAAGUGGCCAGGGGUGUCCUUCCUCCUGGGCAACUGCAGCCAAUGGUGAGGGCGGCCGCACCAGGGAGGGCACUGUACCUCCCUGACCAGUUCCUCAGCCUCUCCCUCCCCUGCAGCGUGUGUGAGAAGGGGGAGUUGCUGUGCCAACCAGGGGGCUGCCCCCUGCCCUACGGCUGGUCAGCCUGGUCCUCCUGGGCUCCCUGCGACCGCUCCUGUGGCUCUGGAGUGAGGGCCAGGUUCAGGUCUCCCUCCAACCCUCCGGCAGCCUGGGGGGGUGCCCCGUGUGAAGGUGACCGGCAGGAACUGCAGGGCUGCCACACAGUGUGUGGGACAGAGGUGUUGGGCUGGACACCCUGGACUUCCUGGUCCUCCUGCUCCCAAAGCUGCCUUGCCCCGGGAGGGGGCCCUGGCUGGCGCAGUCGUUCCCGACUCUGCCCCAGCCCUGGGGAUUCAUCCUGCCCAGGAGACGCCACCCAGGAGGAGCCCUGCAGCCCCCCUGUACGCCCAGUGCCAAGUGUCUGGGGUCUGUGGGCUCCCUGGUCCACUUGCUCAGCCCCCUGUGAUGGAGGCAUCCAGACACGCGGGUGCAGCUGCUCCAGCUUGGCUCCAGGGGACACCACAUGCCCAGGACCCCACAGUCAGACCAGGGACUGCAACACGCAGCCCUGCACAGCCCAGUGCCCAGAGAACAUGGUGUUCCGCUCAGCAGAGCAGUGUCACCAGGAGGGGGGUCCUUGCCCUCGGCUAUGCCUGACGCAGGGCCCCGGGAUAGAGUGUACGGGCUUCUGCGCCCCUGGCUGCACCUGCCCCUGCCCCGCUGGUCUCUUCCUGCACAAUGCUAGCUGCCUGCCCCGCAGCCAGUGCCCCUGCCAGCUGCACGGGCAGCUCUAUGCAUCAGGAGCAAUGGCUCGCCUGGACUCCUGCAACAACUGCACCUGUGUCUCCGGUGAGAUGGCAUGCACCUCGGAGCGCUGCCCAGUGGCCUGUGGCUGGAGUCCCUGGACCCCGUGGAGUCUCUGUAGCCGCAGCUGCAAUGUGGGCAUUCGGCGCCGCUUCCGGGCAGGCACUGCACCCCCAGCUGCCUUUGGGGGUGCUGAGUGCCAAGGCCCCACCAUGGAGGCUGAAUUCUGCAGCCUGCGGCCAUGUCCAGGUCCUGGUGGGGAGUGGGGCCCUUGGUCUCCGUGCUCUGUGCCCUGUGGUGGUGGCUACAGGAACCGCACCCGAGGCAGCGGCCUGCGCAGCCUCAUGGAGUUUUCCACCUGUGGCCUGCAGCCCUGCGCAGGGCCAGUGCCUGGCGUGUGUCCCAGGGACAAGCAGUGGCUGGACUGUGCCCAGGGCCCUGCCUCUUGUGCAGAGCUCAGCGCCCCAGGAGGGACUAACCAGACCUGCCACCCUGGCUGCCACUGCCCCUCUGGGAUGCUUCUGCUGAACAACGUGUGUGUGCCCACCCAGGACUGCCCCUGUGCCCACGAGGGGCACCUCUACCCCCCGGGCAGCACUGUGGUUCGUCCAUGUGAAAACUGCUCCUGUGUCUCCGGGCUCAUCGCCAACUGCAGCUCCUGGCCUUGUGCGGAGGGUGAGCCCACGUGGUCACCCUGGACCCCUUGGAGCCAGUGUUCAGCGUCCUGCGGCCCUGCCCGGCGCCAUUGGCACCGGUUCUGUGCCAGGUCCCCCAGUGCAGUGCCAUCCACCGUGGCUCCGCUGCCCCUGCCAGCCACCCCCACACCUCUCUGCUCAGGCCCCAAGGCUGAAGAGGAGCCAUGUCUCCUGCAGGGGUGUGAUCGUGAGAGCUGGGGGAUGGGGUCCAUGGGGGCCCUGGUCCCACUGUAGCCGGAGCUGUGGGGGAGGCCUGCGGAGCCGGACCCGGGCCUGUGACCAGCCCCCACCCCAGGGCCUCGGGGAUUACUGCGAGGGGCCACGGGCACAGGGGGAGGUCUGCCAGGCUCUGCCCUGCCCAGUGACCAACUGCACCGCCAUUGAAGGGGCCGAGUAUAGCCCCUGUGGCCCUCCGUGCCCUCGCUCCUGUGAUGACCUAAUGCACUGCGUGUGGCGCUGCCAGCCUGGCUGCUACUGCCCACCAGGCCAGGUACUGAGUUCCAGUGGGGCCAUCUGCGUGCAGCUGGGUCACUGCAGCUGCCUGGACCUGCUGACCGGGCAGCGGCACCAUCCGGGUGCUCGGCUGGCAAGGCCUGAUGGCUGCAACCACUGCACCUGCCUGGAGGGGAGGCUGAACUGCACAGACCUGCCCUGCCCAGUGCCCGGAGGCUGGUGCCCGUGGUCGGAGUGGACAAUGUGCUCCCAGCCCUGCAGGGGCCAGACCAGGAGCCGCUCCAGGGCCUGUGCCUGCCCCACUCCUCAGCACGGUGGUGCCCCGUGCACUGGAGAGGCUGGGGAGGCAGGGGCCCAGCAUCAGAGGGAGGCCUGCCCCAGCUACGCCACGUGCCCAGUGGACAGAGCCUGGGGCCCAUGGGGGCCAUGGUCUCCCUGCGACAUGUGCUUGGGGCAGUCCCACCGGAGCCGGGCGUGCAGCCGGCCCCCCACCCCUGAGGGAGGGAGGCCCUGCCCUGGGAGCCACAUGCAGAGUCGCCCUUGCCAGGAAAAUUCCACCCAGUGCACAGACUGCAGGGGUGGCCAGAGUCUGCACCCCUGUGGGCAGCCCUGCCCUCGCUCCUGCCAGGACCUGUCCUCUGGGAGUGUGUGCCAGCCAGGCUCUGUGGGCUGCCAGCCCAGUUGUGGGUGCCCCCUGGGCCAGCUCUCCCAGGACGGGCUGUGCGUGCCCCCAGACCACUGCCGCUGCCAGUACCAGCCUGGAGCCAUGGGGAUCCCUGAGAACCAGAGCCGCUCAGCAGGGUCUAGGUUUAGCUCCUGGGAGAGCCUGGAACCCGGAGAGGUGGUCACUGGGCCAUGUGACAACUGCACCUGUGUGGCAGGCAUUCUGCAAUGCCAGGAGGUGCCCGACUGCCCGGACCCUGGGGUGUGGAGCUCUUGGGGCCCUUGGGAAGACUGCAGUGUUUCGUGUGGGGGCGGGGAGCAGCUGCGCUCCUGGCGCUGUGCUCGUCCUCCCUGCCCAGGGCCUGCCCGCCAGAGCCGCACGUGCAGCACACAGGUCUGCAGAGAGGCAGGCUGCCCGACUGGCCGCCUGUACCGUGAAUGCCAGCCCGGCGAGGGAUGCCCCUUCUCCUGCGCCCACGUCACGCAGCAGGUGGGCUGCUUCUCCGAGGGCUGCGAGGAGGGCUGCCACUGCCCCGAGGGCACCUUCCAGCACCGCCUGGCCUGUGUGCAGGAGUGCCCUUGUGUGCUGACAGCCUGGCUGCUGCAGGAGCUGGGAGCCACCAUAGGUGACCCUGGUCAGCCCCUCAGGCCUGGAGAUGAGCUGGACUCAGGCCAGACACUUCGUACAAGCUGUGGCAACUGCUCGUGUGCACACGGGAAGCUGUCUUGCUCCCUGGACGACUGCUUCGAGACCGAUGGUGGUUUCGGUCCCUGGAGCCCGUGGGGCCCGUGCUCCCGCUCCUGUGGAGGGCUGGGCACCCAUACCCGCAGCCGCCAGUGUGUGCUCACCAUGCCCACCCUCAGUGGUCAGGGCUGCCGUGGGCCCCACCAGGACCUCGAGUACUGCCCCAGCCCAGACUGCCCUGGGGCUGAAGGGUCCAUGGUGGAGCCAGUGACAGGCCUUCCAGGUGGCUGGGGCCCGUGGUCCUCCUGGUCCCCCUGCUCCAGAAGCUGCACGGACCCCGCUCGCCCUGCAUGGCGCAGCCGCAGCCGCCUCUGCCUGGCUAACUGCACCAUGGGGGACCCAUUACAGGAGCGCCCCUGCAACCUGCCCUCAUGCACAGAGCUGCCCGUGUGCCCUGGCCCUGGCUGUGGGGCUGGGAAAUGUUCCUGGACCUCCUGGGCCCCGUGGGAACCUUGCUCCCGCAGCUGCGGGGUGGGCCAGCAGCGCCGCCUGCGGGCAUACCAUCCCCCUGGGCCCGGCGGGCACUGGUGCCCCAACAUCCUUACUGCCUACCAAGAGCGCCGCUUCUGCAACCUGCGAGCCUGCCCAGUGCCCGGGGGCUGGUCACGCUGGAGUCCCUGGUCCUGGUGUGACCGCAGCUGUGGAGGAGGCCAAUCCCUGAGAAGCCGCAGCUGCUCAAGCCCCCCAUCCAAGAACGGGGGAGCCCCCUGUGCUGGGGAGCGGCACCAGGCCCGCCUCUGCAAUCCCAUGCCUUGUGAGGCCGGCUGCCCAGCAGGCAUGGAGGUGGUCACCUGUGCCAACCGCUGCCCCCGCCGCUGCUCAGACCUCCAGGAGGGAAUUGUGUGUCAGGACGACGAGGUCUGCCAGAAGGGCUGCCGCUGCCCAAAGGGGUCCCUGGAGCAGGAUGGUGGCUGUGUGCCAAUUGGGCACUGUGACUGCACCGAUGCCCAGGGCCACAGCUGGGCCCCGGGGAGCCAGCACCAGGAUGCCUGCAACAACUGCUCAUGCCAAGCUGGGUAGCUCUCCUGCACGGCUCAGCCCUGCCCGCCUCCCACCCACUGUGCCUGGAGCCGCUGGUCGGCCUGGAGUCCCUGCAGCCACUCAUGCGGGCCCGGAGGGCAGCAGAGCCGCUUCCGGUCCUCCACGUCGGGCUCGUGGGCCCCAGAGUGUCGGGAGGAGCAGUCCCAGAGCCAGCCCUGCCCUCAGCCCUCGUGCCCACCCCUGUGCCUGCAGGGCACUCGCUCCCGCACCCUGGGGGACAGCUGGCUGCAGGGGGAGUGCCAGCGGUGGUGAGUGCAGGGCAGGGAGUGGGGCUGGGACCGCCCUGCUGGAGAGCAGGGUCCUGAGUCCUGGCUCUUUCCCAGCUCCUGCACCGCGGAGGGUGUGAUCUGCGAAGACACGGAGUGUGCAGUGCCUGAGGCCUGGACGCUGUGGUCCUCCUGGUCCGACUGCCCUGUCUCCUGUGGAGGUGGAAACCAGGUCCGAACCCGGGCCUGCAGGGCCGCAGCCCCUCACCACAGGAGCCCACCCUGCCUGGGCCCUGACACCCAGACCCAGCCCUGCGGGCAGCAGCCUUGCCCAGGGCUGCUGGAGGCCUGCUCCUGGGGCCCGUGGGGGCCCUGUUCCCGCAGCUGCGGCCCAGGCCUGGCCUCUCGCUCUGGGUCCUGCCCCUGCCUGAUGGCCAAGGCCGACCCCACCUGCAACAGCACCUUCCUCCACCUGGACACCCAGGGCUGCUACCCAGGGCUCUGCCCAGAGGAGUGUGUGUGGAGCAGCUGGAGCAGCUGGACGCGCUGCUCUUGCCGGGUGCUGGUGCAGCAGCGCUACCGACACCAGGGCCCGGCGUCCCGAGGGGCCAGGGCAGGCGCCCCCUGCACGCGGCUGGAUGGCCACUUCCGGCCUUGCCUUAUCAGCAACUGCUCUGAGGACAGCUGCACACCUCCCUUUGAGUUCCAUGCCUGCGGCUCCCCCUGUGCUGGGCUGUGUGCCACACACCUGAGCCAUCAGCUCUGCCAGGACCUGCCACCCUGCCAGCCGGGCUGCUACUGCCCCAAGGGGCUGCUGGAGCAGGCUGGGGGCUGCAUUCCCCCGGAGGAGUGUAACUGCUGGCAUACCUCAGCAGCGGGAGCCGGGAUGACCCUGGCCCCUGGGGACCGCCUGCAGCUGGGCUGUAAGGAGUGUGAAUGCCGGCGUGGGGAGCUGCACUGCACCAGCCAGGGCUGUCAAGGUCUUCUGCCUCUGAGUGAGUGGUCUGAGUGGUCGCCCUGUGGGCCCUGCCUGCCGCCCAGCGCCCUGGCCCCUGCCUCCAGGACUGCCCUAGAGGAGCGCUGGCUCCGAGACCCAACUGGCCUCUCCCCCACCUCGGCCCCACUGCUGGCUUCAGAGCAGCACCGCCACCGGCUCUGUCUGGAUCCUGUGACAAGGAGGCCCUGGACUGGAGCGCCUCACCUCUGCACCGCACCCCUCAGCCAGCAGCGCCUCUGCCCUGACCCUGGAGCCUGCCCUGACUCAUGCCAGUGGAGUCUGUGGGGGCCAUGGAGCCCCUGCCAGGUGCCCUGCAGUGGGGGGUUCAGGCUACGCUGGAGAGAGGCAGAGGCCCUCCGUGGAGGAGGCUGCCAGGGGCCAUGGGCUCAGACAGAAAGCUGCAACAGAGGGCCCUGCCCAGGUGAGAGCUGCGAGGCCCAAGACACUGUAUUCACCCUGGACUGUGCCAACCAGUGCCCACGCAGCUGUGCCGACCUCUGGGACCGCGUUCAGUGCCUGCAGGGACCCUGCCGCCCAGGCUGCCGCUGUCCCCCUGGCCAGCUGGUCCAGGAUGGGCGCUGUGUGCCGAUCUCCUCUUGCCGCUGUGGCCUCCCCAGUGCCAAUGCCUCUUGGGAGCUGGCCCCGGCCCAGGCAGUGCAGCUGGACUGCCAAAACUGCACCUGUGUCAACGGGUCCCUGGUGUGCCCACACCAGGAGUGUCCAGUCCUUGGGCCUUGGUCAGCCUGGAGCAGUUGCUCGGCCCCCUGUGGUGGGGGCCCUAUGGAGCGACAUCGGACCUGCGAGGGGGGUCCUGGGGUGGCACCAUGCCAGGCCCAGGACACAGAGCAACGGCAGGAGUGUAACCUGCAGCCCUGCCCUGAGUGCCCCCCUGGCCAGGUGCUUAGCACCUGUGCCACCUCAUGCCCGCGCCUCUGCUGGCAUCUGCAGCCUGGUGCCAUCUGUGUGCAGGAGCCCUGCCAGCCUGGCUGUGGCUGCUCUGGAGGGCAGCUGCUGCACAAUGGCACGUGUGUGCCUCCCACUGCCUGCCCCUGCACCCAGCAUUCUCUGCCCUGGGGCCUCACCCUGACCCUGGAAGAGCAGGCCCAGGAGCUACCCCCAGGGACUGUGCUCACCCGGAACUGCACCCGCUGUGUCUGCCACGGUGGAGCCUUCAGCUACUCCCUCAUUGACUGUCAGGAGUGCCCCCCUGGGGAAAUGUGGCAGCAGGUGGCCCCGGGGAGCUGGGGCUCUGCGAGCAGACGUGCCUGGAGAUGAAUGCCACAGAGACCCAGAGUAACUGCAGUUCAGCUCGAGCCUCGGGCUGCGUGUGCCAGCCCGGGCACUUCCGCAGCCAGGCAGGCCCCUGCGUCCCCGAAGACCACUGCGAGUGCUGGCACCUCGGGCAUCCCCACCUGCCUGGAUCUGAAUGGCAGGAGGCCUGUGAGAGCUGCCUCUGCCUCAGUGGGAGGCCUGUCUGCACCCAGCACUGCUCCCCACUCACCUGUGCUCAGGGCGAGGAGAUGGUGCUGGAGCCAGGGAGCUGCUGUCCCUCUUGCCGCAGGGAGGCUCCGGAGGAGCAGUCGCCCUCCUGCCAGCUCCUCACGGAGCUUCGAAACUUCACCAAAGGGACCUGUUACCUGGACCAGGUAGAAGUGAGCUACUGCAGUGGGUACUGCCCAUCCAGCACCCAUGUCAUGCCAGAGGAGCCAUACCUGCAGAGCCAGUGUGACUGCUGCAGCUACCGUCUAGACCCGGAGAGCCCUGUGCGGAUCCUGAACCUGCGCUGUCUGGGUGGCCACACAGAGCCCGUGGUGCUGCCGGUCAUCCACAGCUGCCAGUGCAGCUCCUGCCAGGGUGGGUGACUUCUCAAAGCGCUAACAGGCUCCGCUGGGUGAGUCCACAGCUGUCCCUCUUGUGAUCAUGGGACUCAGCAGCACUGACCACGUCCUUCCACGCUCUCUCACCUGCCCCCAACUGGGGGCCCAUGACUUGGCAUUAGCAUGUUCCAAAUAAA
rnacentral:sRNA from 1 species